UUCCCCUAGUAACUGCGAGUGAAGCGGGAAAAGCUCAAAUUUAAAAUCUGGUGGUCUUUGGCCAUCCGAGUUGUAAUCUAGAGAAGUGUUAUCCGCGCUGGACCGUGUACAAGUCCCCUGGAAUGGGGCGUCAUAGAGGGUGAGAAUCCCGUCUUUGACACGGACUACCAGGGCUUUGUGAUGCACUCUCAAAGAGUCGAGUUGUUUGGGAAUGCAGCUCAAAAUGGGGUGGUA
rnacentral:rRNA from 1 species